AGAUUGAACGCUGGCGGCAGGCCUAACACAUGCAAGUCGAGCGGCAGCACGGAUACUUGUACCUGGUGGCGAGCGGCGGACGGGUGAGUAAUGCCUAGGAAUCUGCCUGGUAGUGGGGGAUAACGCUCGGAAACGGACGCUAAUACCGCAUACGUCCUACGGGAGAAAGCAGGGGACCUUCGGGCCUUGCGCUAUCAGAUGAGCCUAGGUCGGAUUAGCUAGUUGGUGAGGUAAUGGCUCACCAAGGCGACGAUCCGUAACUGGUCUGAGAGGAUGAUCAGUCACACUGGAACUGAGACACGGUCCAGACUCCUACGGGAGCAGCAGUGGGAAUAUUGGACAAUGGGCGAAAGCCUGAUCCAGCCAUGCCGCGUGUGUGAAGAAGGUCUUCGGAUUGUAAAGCAACUUUAAGUUGGAGAAGGCAGUUACCUAAUACGUAUCUGUUUGACGUUACGACAGAAUAAGCACCGGCUAACUCUAGUG
rnacentral:rRNA from 1 species